UGGGGAAUAUUGCACAAUGGGCGAAAGCCUGAUGCAGCAACGCCGCGUGAGCGAUGAAGGCCUUUGGGUCGUAAAGCUCUGUCCUUGGGGAAGAAACAAAUGACGGUACCCUUGGAGGAAGCCCCGGCUAACUACGUGCCAGCAGCCGCGGUAAUACGUAGGGGGCGAGCGUUAUCCGGAAUUAUUGGGCGUAAAGAGUGCGUAGGUGGCCAUGUAAGCGCGGGGUGAAAGGCAAUAGCUUAACUAUUGUAAGCCUUGCGAACUGUGUGGCUUGAGUGCAGGAGAGGAAAGUGGAAUUCCUAGUGUAGCGGUGAAAUGCGUAGAUAUUAGGAGGAACACCAGUGGCGAAGGCGACUUUCUGGACUGUAACUGACACUGAGGCACGAAAGCGUGGGAGCAAACAGGAUUAGAAACCCGAGUAG
rnacentral:rRNA from 1 species